CUACAUGAUCCUCGGGUAGAAUACCUUUUACAAAAUCAGCAAUCGCAUCCAGACAGUCUUCAGCCAAAUUAUAAUCUGUUUUAAUGCCCAUCAAUCUUGUAGCAGAUGAUAAAGCUGAAUAACCAUCUCUGCAACCUUCGUACAAUGGUUGCUUUCCGGCAUCCAACAUAUCAUAAAAUCUCCUAGCUUGUGCAUUGGGUAAAUCU
rnacentral:lncRNA from 1 species